rnacentral:rRNA from 1 species
UACGUAGGGUGCAAGCGUUAAUCGGAAUUACUGGGCGUAAAGCGUGCGCAGGCGGUUUUGUAAGUCUGUCGUGAAAUCCCCCGGGCUCAACCUGGGGAAUUGCGAUGGAGACUGCAAGGCUGGAGUCUGGCAGAGGGGGGGUAGAAUUCCACGUGUAGCAGUGAAAUGCGUAGAGAUGUGGAGGAACACCGAUGGCGAAGGCAGCCCCCCUGGGUCAAGACUGACGCUCAUGCACGAAAGCGUGGGGAGCAAACAGG